rnacentral:rRNA from 1 species
UCGAACGGACUCUUACUGAAACCUAGUGAUUUAUGAGUUAGUGGCGGACGGGUGAGUAACGCGUGGAUAACCUGCCGUAUACCGGGGGAUAACACUUAGAAAUAGGUGCUAAUACCGCAUGAGCGCACAGCUCCGCAUGGGGCGGUGUGAAAAACUCCGGUGGUAUACGAUGGAUCCGCGUCUGAUUAGCCAGUUGGCGGGGUAACGGCCCACCAAAGCGACGAUCAGUAGCCGGCCUGAGAGGGUGAACGGCCACAUUGGGACUGAGACACGGCCCAGACUCCUACGGGAGGCAGCAGUGGGGAAUAUUGCACAAUGGGGGAAACCCUGAUGCAGCGACGCCGCGUGAGUGAAGAAGUAUCUCGGUAUGUAAAGCUCUAUCAGCAGGAAAGAUAAUGACGGUACCUGACCAAGAAGCCCCGGCUAACUACGUGCCAGCAGCCGCGGUAAUACGUAGGGGGCAAGCGUUAUCCGGAUUUACUGGGUGUAAAGGGAGCGUAGACGGCAGCGCAAGUCUGGAGUGAAAUGCCGGGGCCCAACCCCGGAACUGCUUUGGAAACUGUGCGGCUCGAGUGCGGGAGAGGUAGGCGGAAUUCCUAGUGUAGCGGUGAAAUGCGUAGAUAUUAGGAGGAACACCAGUGGCGAAGGCGGCUUACUGGACCGUAACUGACGUUGAGGCUCGAAAGCGUGGGGAGCA